AGUCUUAUAGUCAUAAAAAUGACAUUAAAUUGCAAAUUUAAAGGUAAAGAAUUUCUUUUAAGGCUU
rnacentral:tRNA from 1 species